UUGCUAAAUGCGAUAGCAUGAACGUUCUUCGAAAAAAUAUGUUCGAAAGUGCUAAAUGUUGCAUUUUAAAUGCAGCUAAAACGCUGCAUAAGACGCAACUGUUUACCUCAACGUUGCUGAAAUGCUGUCAACUGUUGAGUUCAACAGUUACGUCCUAGAAACGCGCCCAAUGUGAAAAUUUCUUUUAAAAAACAUACA